CACUCCUGCGGGAGGCAGCAGUGGGGAAUUUUGGACAAUGGGCGAAAGCCUGAUCCAGCAAUGCCGCGUGAGUGAAGAAGGCCUUCGGGUUGUAAAGCUCUUUUGUCAGGGAAGAAACGGUGAAAGCUAAUAUCUUUUGCUAAUGACGGUACCUGAAGAAUAAGCACCGGCUAACUACGUGCCAGCAGCCGCGGUAAUACGUAGGGUGCAAGCGUUAAUCGGAAUUACUGGGCGUAAAGCGUGCGCAGGCGGUUUUGUAAGUCUGAUGUGAAAUCCCCGGGCGCAACCUGGGAAUUGCAUUGGAGACUGCAAGGCUAGAAUCUGGCAGAGGGGGGUAGAAUUCCACGUGUAGCAGUGAAAUGCGUAGAUAUGUGGAGGAACACCGAUGGCGAAGGCAGCCCCCUGGGUCAAGAUUGACGCUCAUGCACGAAAGCGUGGGGAGCAAACAGGAUUAGAUACCCCUGUAGUCCCA
rnacentral:rRNA from 1 species